GACGAACGCUGGCGGCGUGCUUAACACAUGCAGGUCGAACGGAAAGGCCCCCACCUUUGGUGGGGGUGCUCGAGUGGCGAACGGGUGAGUAACACGUGGGUGAUCUGCCCUGCACUUCGGGAUAAGCUUGGGAAACUGGGUCUAAUACCGGAUAGGACCAUGGUUUAGCGUCUCAUGGUGGAAAGAUUAUUGUUUUGGUGUAGGAUGAGCCCGCGGCCUAUCAGCUUGUUGGUGGGGUAAUGGCCUACCAAGGCGUCGACGGGUAGCCGGCCUGAGAGGGUGGACGGCCACAUUGGGACUGAGAUACGGCCCAGACUCCUACGGGAGGCAGCAGUGGGGAAUAUUGCACAAUGGGCGCAAGCCUGAUGCAGCGACGCCGCGUGGGGGAUGACGGCCUUCGGGUUGUAAACUCCUUUCGUUAGGGACGAAGCCACGCUUUUUUUGGGUGUGGUGACGGUACCUUUGUUAAGAAGCACCGGCUAACUACGUGCCAGCAGCCGCGGUAAUACGUAGGGUGCGAGCGUUGUCCGGAAUUACUGGGCGUAAAGAGCUCGUAGGUGGUUUGUUGCGUCGUCUGUGAAAUUCCGGGGCUUAACUUCGGGGUGGCAGGCGAUACGGGCAUAACUAGAGUGCUGUAGGGGAGACUGGAAUUCCUGGUGUAGCGGUGGAAUGCGCAGAUAUCAGGAGGAACACCGAUGGCGAAGGCAGGUCUCUGGGCAGUAACUGACGCUGAGGAGCGAAAGCAUGGGGAGCGAACAGG
rnacentral:rRNA from 1 species